rnacentral:rRNA from 1 species
AGCAGCCGCGGUAAUUCCAGCUCCAAUAGCGUAUAUUAAAGUUGCUGCAGUUAAAAAGCUCGUAGUUGAAUUUCGGGACCAUCAUGUCGGUCGUGCCUCGGUACGUACUGGCAUUGUUGGUUUCUACCUUCUGACGAACCAUGAUGUCAUUUAUUUGGUGUCGUGGGGAAUCAGGACUGUUACUUUGAAAAAAUUAGAGUGUUUAAAGCAGGCAUUAGCUUGAAUACAUUAGCAUGGAAUAAUGAAAUAGGACGUUCGAACCUAUUUUGUUGGUUUUAGGAUCAACGUAAUGAUUAAUAGGGAUAGUUGGGGGCAUUAGUAUUCAAUUGUCAGAGGUGAAAUUCUUGGAUUUAUUGAAGACUAACUACUGCGAAAGCAUUUGCCAAGGAUGUCUUCAUUAAUCAAGAACGAAAGUUAAGGGGAUCGAAGACGAUCAGAUACCGUCGUAGUCUUAACCAUAAACUAUGCCGACUAGGGAUCGGAUGAU